AACGAACGCUGGCGGCAGGCUUAACACAUGCAAGUCGAGCGCCCCGCAAGGGGAGCGGCAGACGGGUGAGUAACACGUGGGAAUCUACCCAUCCCUACGGAACAACUCCGGGAAACUGGAGCUAAUACCGUCUACGCCCUUUGGGGGAAAGAUUUAUCGGGGAUGGAUGAGCCCGCGUUGGAUUAGGUAGUUGGUGGGGUAAAGGCCUACGAAGGCUACGAUCCAUAGCUGGUCUGAGAGGAUGAUCAGCCACAUUGGAACUGAGACACGGCGCAGACACGUGCGGGAGGCAGAAGUGGGGGUAUUUGGAUAAUGGGCGUAAGCUUCAUCAAGCCAUCCCGUGGGAAAGAUGAAUGCCUUAGGGUUGUAAGGUGCUUUGACCGAUGAAGAUAAUGAAGGAAGUCGGAGAAUAAGCCCCGUCGACCUACGUGCAAGAAGCCGCCAGAA
rnacentral:rRNA from 1 species